rnacentral:tRNA from 1 species
GCAGUCGUGGCCGAGUGGUUAAGGCGAUGGACUUGAAAUCCAUUGUGGUCUCCCCGCGCAGGUUCGAAUCCUGUCGGCUGCG